UGAAUACGAGACGCUAAGGCGUCAAAGUAGUGUAUGUCAUACUUCCAAGAAAAGCUUGCACUGUCAUAGAUAAAAAACGCCUGUACCAUAACCGACACAGGUGGGUAGGUAGAGUAUACUAAGGGGCGCGAGAUAACUCUCUCUAAGGAACUCGGCAAAACAACUCCGUAACUUCGGGAGAAGGAGUGCCUUAUUCGUAAGGUUGCAAUAACAAGAUCCAAGCAACUGUUUAUCAAAAACACAGGUCUCCGCUAAGUCGUAAGACGAUGUAUGGGGGCUGACGCCUGCCCAGUGCCAGAAGGUUAAAGAAGUUGGUUAGCAAUUGCGAAGCUGAUAACUGAAGACCUGGUGAACGGCGGCCGUAACCAUAACGGUCCUAAGGUAGCGAAACUCCUUGUCGGGUAAGUUCCGACCCGCACGAAAGGCGUAAUGAUUUGGAUACUGUCUCGGAGAGGGGCUCGGUGAAAUAGACUUGUCUGUGAAGAUGCGGACUACCUGCACCAGGACAGAAAGACCCUAUGAAGCUUUACUGUAACUUGAAAUUGAAAUUGGACUUUAUUCGCGCAGUAUAGGUGGGAGGCGUUGAUUAUAAUCUUGUGGGAUUAUUGGAGCCAUCAGUGAGAUACCACUCUUGUAAUGUUAGAUUUCUAACUUUGAAUCAUUAUCUGGUCAAAGAACAGUUUCAGGCGGGCAGUUUGACUGGGGCGGUCGCCUCCUAAACGGUAACGGAGGCGUACAAAGGUUUCCUCUGAACGGUUAGAAAUCGUAUCUAGAGUGUAAAGGCAUAAGGAAGCUUGACUGUGAGACCUACAAGUCGAGCAGGGACGAAAGUCGGUCUUAGUGAUCUGACGGUACUGAGUGGAAAGGCCGUCACUCAACGGAUAAAAGUUACUCUAGGAUAACAGGCUGAUCUCCCCCAAGAGUUCACAUCGACGGGGAGGUUUGGCACCUCGAUGUCGGCUCAUCGCAUCCUGGGGCGGUAGUACGUCCCAAGGGUUGGGCUGUUCGCCCAUGAAAGCGGUACGCGAGCUGGGUUCAGAACGUCGUGAGACAGUUCGGUCCAUAUCCGGUGUAGGCGUUAGAAUAUUGAGAGGAGCCUUCUUUAGUACGAGAGGACCGAGAAGGACAUACCUCUGGUGUACCAGUUAUCGUGCCAACGGUAAACGCUGGGUAGCUAUGUAUGGAGUGGAUAACCGCUGAAAGCAUCUAAGUGGGAAGCCCACCUCAAGAUAAGUAUUCUCAUC
rnacentral:rRNA from 1 species